UUGUCUUUUAAAUAAAGACUAGUAUGAACGGCUAAAUGAGGACAGAUCUGUCUCUUACAAUUGACCAGUGAAACUGAUCUUCAAGUCCAAAAGCUUGAAUAAACACAUAAGACGAGAAGACCCUGUGGAGCUUCAAACCCACACUAUAAUUAACCAAAUAGCACCGGUUUUAAGUUGGGGCGACUUCGGAAUACAACCUAACUUCCGAGCACAGGGCCAUCACACCCUCACCAAGACCGACAGGUCAAAGAAAAAUCCGACCCAGUCACACUGACCAACGAACCAAGUUACCCCAGGGAUAACAGCGCUAUCUUCUUCAAGAGUCCCUAUCGACAAGAAGGUUUACGACCUCGAUGUUGGAUCAGGACACCCAAAUGGUGCAGCAACUAUUAAAGGUUCGUUUGUUCAACGAUU
rnacentral:rRNA from 1 species